CUUAUUAUGUAUGGUUCAUGAGUAAUAUCACUUUACGCAUAAUUCUAAAUAUAAGAGGGGCAAAAACUCCCAUUUAUUGUCUACGCACCCUUCCAACCAAAAUUUAUAAGUUACGACAUGUCGCAACUAACAAUUUAGUAAAAAUAAUUUGUCGAUAUCUUAUAAAGGUUAAUGAAAAUAAGUGAAAAUAAGCCAAAAUCAAAAUUUAGAAUUUGACCUUGACCUUUGACCUUGACCUAAUUUUCAUUUUUUUGGACCAAGGAUCUUAAAUCAAAAGACCCUAGGUCUCUAUCACUUAUGGUUUACCAGUUAGAAAUGCAUAUCACUUAUAUCAUAUAUAAAAGGGGG
rnacentral:lncRNA from 1 species